UGUAAACAUCCUUGACUGGAAGCUGAGGUUUUGACAGCGAGGGCUUUCAGUCGGAUGUUUGCAGC
ensembl:miRNA